UACGUAGGGUGCGAGCGUUAAUCGGAAUUACUGGGCGUAAAGCGUGCGCAGGCGGUUGUGCAAGACAGAUGUGAAAUCCCCGGGCUCAACCUGGGAACUGCAUUUGUGACUGCACGGCUGGAGUGCGGCAGAGGGGGAUGGAAUUCCGCGUGUAGCAGUGAAAUGCGUAGAUAUGCGGAGGAACGCCGAUGGCGAAGGCAAUCCCCUGGGCCUGCACUGACGCUCAUGCACGAAAGCGUGGGGAGCAAACAGG
rnacentral:rRNA from 1 species